CCUACGGGUGGCAGCAGUGAGGAAUAUUGGUCAAUGGACGAGAGUCUGAACCAGCCAAGUAGCGUGAAGGAUGACUGCCCUAUGGGUUGUAAACGUCUUUUAUAUGGGAAUAAAAUGUUCCACGUGUGGGAUUUUGUAUGUACCAUAUGAAUAAGGAUCGGCUAACUCCGUGCCAGCAGCCGCGGUAAUACGGAGGAUCCGAGCGUUAUCCGGAUUUAUUGGGUUUAAAGGGAGCGUAGGUGGGUUGUUAAGUCAGGUGGGAAAGUUUGCGGCUCAACCGUAAAAUUGCAGUUGAAACUGGCAGGCUUGAGUACGGUAGAGGUAGGCGGAAUGCGUGGUGUAGCGGUGAAAUGCUUAGAUAUCACGAAGAACUCCGAUUGCGAAGGCAGCUCACUGGACUGCAACUGACACUGAGGCACGAAAGUGUGGGUAUCAAACAGGAUUAGAUACCACAGUAGUC
rnacentral:rRNA from 1 species